CAACAACAACAACAACAAGAAGAAAAAGGAAACGAAAAAUACAAAACUAAUGACAGCACACACCUCGGUCAAGAGUAGCGUUAAUGUACCGGAGUGUCCAUCGUCCAUCGUCCGUAUCUCUCUCGACCCUGCAGAACAUCUGUGCUUCAAGAACUACUGAUGUAAACGUCUGCAUUAUGAACACUACAGACCAUGGUUUAAACUCUGUUGUGUUUAAGAGGUGGGGUUGGGGUGAUCAAAUAAUUGGCUAAACUAAUUAUUCUCUUUUAAUGUGAAGGGACUUGCUUUUAAGCUUAAUUGUAUGGAUUCAUCUUUUACAGAAAUGUAACUUGCUCGGCCAAUUCAGGCAGUUUCAUAUUAGUUGUGUAGAUUAAACCAUUAACUUAUCUGGCUGAUGAGCUCCAGAACACCUAAAUUGCACCUGUACAAGCUUCAGGACAUUUUCAAAACCAGAGCAGAGAAUUUUAGUUUGCAAUAAACUUCUGUCCAUGCACUUUUAUUGCUUUGGAACUCUUAUGUUCCAUAACGAAUUUGCGGACUUAAUUAUUACUGCUGUCUUGUCUUGAAAUAGUAUUGUUGAAUUAAUUCGGUCAUUGAUCAAGUUAAAAUUCUUUAAUAAAAAGGUCAGUUUUUGUCAUCGUUGCAUUUUAACUGUUCAAGGUUACAGUGCCUUGCAA